UACAGAGGGUGCAAGCGUUACUCGGAAUUACUGGGCGUAAAGCGUGCGUAGACGGUUAUUUAAGUCAGGUGUGAAAGCCCCGGGCUCAACCUGGGAAUUGCAUUUGAGACUGAAUAGCUAGGGUGCGGAAGAGGGAAGCGGAAUUUCCGGUGUAGCGGUGAAAUGCGUAGAUAUCGGAAGGAACACCAGUGGCGAAGGCGACUCUUUGGCCUGUAACUGACACUGAGGCGCGAAAGCGUGGGGAGCAAACAGG
rnacentral:rRNA from 1 species